GCCGCGUGAGUGAGGAAGGCCUUCGGGUCGUAAAGCUCUGUCAAAGGGGAAGAAGUGUAUAGCGGUUAAUACCUGUUAUAUUUGACGGUACCCUUAAAGGAAGCACCGGCUAACUCCGUGCCAGCAGCCGCGGUAAUACGGAGGGUGCAAGCGUUGUUCGGAAUUACUGGGCGUAAAGGGCGCGUAGGCGGCUUGGUAAGUCAGAUGUGAAAGCCCACGGCUUAACCGUGGAAGUGCAUUUGAUACUGCUAGGCUUGAGUACCAGAGGGGAAAGUGGAAUUCCCGGUGUAGAGGUGAAAUUCGUAGAUAUCAGGAGGAAUACCGGUGGCGAAGGCGACAACCUGGCUGAUACUGACACUGAGGUGCGAAACCGUGGGGAGCAAACAGGAUUAGAUACCCUGGUAGUCCACGCCGUAACCGAUGUCACUAGCCGUUGGGAGCCUUGAGCUCUUAGUGGCGCACGAACGCAUUAAGUGACCGCCA
rnacentral:rRNA from 1 species